AGUCCUUGGGAGGAACGUUUUCCCCCUUUUCUGGUUUACAAGACCAGGGUGGUGUGCGACGCACAUAACCCUGGUCUUGGCUAUACCUGGAAACUU
rnacentral:tRNA from 1 species